rnacentral:rRNA from 1 species
UACAGAGGGUGCAAGCGUUAAUCGGAAUUACUGGGCGUAAAGCGCGCGUAGGUGGUUUGUUAAGUUGAAUGUGAAAUCCCCGGGCUCAACCUGGGAACUGCAUCCAAAACUGGCAAGCUAGAGUAGGGCAGAGGGUGGUGGAAUUCCCGGUGUAGCAGUGAAAUGCGUAGAGAUCGGGAGGAACACCAGUGGCGAAGGCGACUACCUGGACCAGCACUGACACUGAGGCACGAAAGCGUGGGGAGCAAACAGG